rnacentral:rRNA from 1 species
AUUGAACGCUGGCGGAAUGCUUUACACAUGCAAGUCGAACGGCAGCACGGACUUCGGUCUGGUGGCGAGUGGCGAACGGGUGAGUAACAUAUCGGAACGUAUCCAAUAAUGGGGGAUAACUAAUCGAAAGGUUGGCUAAUACCGCAUACGCCCUACGGGGGAAAGCUAGGGACCUUCGGGCCUGGCGUUAAUGGAGCGGCCGAUACCUGAUUAGCUAGUUGGUGGGGUAAAGGCCCACCAAGGCGACGAUCAGUAGCUGGUCUGAGAGGACGACCAGCCACACUGGAACUGGGACACGGUCCAGACUCCUACGGGAGGCAGCAGUGGGGAAUUUUGGACAAUGGGCGCAAGCCUGAUCCAGCCAUUCCGCGUGAGUGAAGAAGGCCUUCGGGUUGUAAAGCUCUUUCGCAAGGGAAAAAAACUUACCCUCUAACAUAGGGUGAGGUUGACGGUACCUUGAUAAGAAGCACCGGCUAACUACGUGCCAGCCGCCGCCGUAAGAC